CUUACUAGUACCUUUAGUAUAAAAGUCAAAUGAUAUUGAAGUUUCGACUGGAUUAAAUAUUGUUGCAAUAACUUACACACAAACAUAACAAAUAUGAAAUUUACAAUUGUUUUGGCGUUACUCGUCAUUUGCGCAGUAACUGUGCAGUGUUGUACCUUGGACUCCGACUGUAACCACUUGACCUGCGGGACUAGUCAAGAGGCAUACUGCCAUGGAAACCACUGUCAUUGUCAUCACGUACAUGAAUGCACAAGUGACACCGAUUGUCAUGGUCACUGUAAUGCCGGAGGUGUCCCAACUUGCGAUGGCCACGGACACUGCCAUUGUUACUAAGGUCUAAGAAGGGAAAGCGGAUAUGAAAUGAAAAAUCAAGAUAUUAAAUAACAAAUAAAUUAUACUUAUACCACGUU